rnacentral:miRNA from 1 species
CAAGUUUGGUGUUUAUGACGUCGAUAUUCGACGUCAUAAACACCAUCAAGUUUGGUGUUUAUGACGUCGAAUAUCGACGUCAUAAACAACA